rnacentral:rRNA from 1 species
UACGUAGGGACCGAGCGUUGUCCGGAUUCAUUGGGCGUAAAGAGCUCGUAGGCGGCUGGUCAAGUCGAACGUGAAAACUCGGGGCUCAACUCCGAGCCUGCGUUCGAUACUGCAGGGCUAGAGUCCGGGAGAGGCGAGUGGAAUUCCUGGUGUAGCGGUGGAAUGCGCAGAUAUCAGGAGGAACACCAAUAGCGAAGGCAGCUCGCUGGGACGGUACUGACGCUAAGGCGCGAAAGCGUGGGGAGCGAACAGG